UACGUAGGGUGCAAGCGUUGUCCGGAAUUAUUGGGCGUAAAGAGCGUGUAGGCGGCCAGACAGGUCUGCUGUGAAAACUCGAGGCUCAACCUCGAGACGCCGGUGGAAACCGUUUGGCUAGAGUCCGGAAGAGGAGAGUGGAAUUCCUGGUGUAGCGGUGAAAUGCGCAGAUAUCAGGAAGAACACCCGUGGCUAAGGCGGCUCUCUAGUACGGUACUGACGCUGAGACGCGAAAGCGUGGGGAGCGAACAGG
rnacentral:rRNA from 1 species